GGCGGACGGGUGAGUAAUGCUUAGGAAUCUGCCUAUUAGUGGGGGACAACAUUCCGAAAGGAAUGCUAAUACCGCAUACGCCCUACGGGGGAAAGCAGGGGAUCUUCGGACCUUGCGCUAAUAGAUGAGCCCUAAGUCAGAUUAGCUAGUUGGUGGGGUAAAGGCCUACCAAGGCGACGAUCUGUAGCGGGUCUGACAGGAUGAUCCGCCACACUGGGACUGAGACACGGCCCAGACUCCUACGGGAGGCAGCAGUGGGGAAUAUUGGACAAUGGGCGAAAGCCUGAUCCAGCCAUGCCGCGUGUGUGAAGAAGGCCUUUUGGUUGUAAAGCACUUUAAGCGAGGAGGAGGCUACUUAGAUUAAUACUCUAGGAUAGUGGACGUUACUCGCAGAAUAAGCACCGGCUAACUCUGUGCCAGCAGCCGCGGUAAU
rnacentral:rRNA from 1 species